UACGUAGGGUGCGAGCGUUGUCCGGAAUUAUUGGGCGUAAAGGGCUCGUAGGCGGUUUGUCGCGUCGGGAGUGAAAACCUUGGGCUUAACUCAGGGCUUGCUUUCGAUACGGGCAGACUAGAGGUAUGCAGGGGAGAACGGAAUUCCUGGUGUAGCGGUGAAAUGCGCAGAUAUCAGGAAGAACACCUGUGGCGAAGGCGGCUCUCUGGGACGGUACUGACGCUGAGACGCGAAAGCGUGGGGAGCGAACAGG
rnacentral:rRNA from 1 species